GUAGGUGGCAAGCGUUGUCCGGAAUUAUUGGGGCGUAAAGCGCGCGCAGGCGGUCCUUUAAGGUCUGAUGUGAAAGCCCACGGGCUCAACCGUGGAGGGUCAUUGGAAACUGGGGGACUUGAGUACAGAAGAGGAAAGCGGAAUUCCAAGUGUAGCGGUGAAAUGCGUAGAGAUUUGGAGGCACACCAGUGGCGAAGGCGGCUUUCUGGUCUGUAACUGACGCUGAGGCGCGAAAGCGUGGGGAGCAAACAGGAUUAGAUACCCUGGUAGUCCACGCCGUAAACGAUGAGUGCUAAGUGUUAGGGGGUUUCCGCCCCUUAGUGCUGCAGCUAACGCAUUAAGCACUCCGCCUGGGGAGUACGGCCGCAAAGGCUGA
rnacentral:rRNA from 1 species